UACGUAGGGUGCGAGCGUUAAUCGGAAUACUGGGCGUAAAGCGUGCGCAGGCGGUUCGUUGUGUCGGCGGUGAAAGCCCCGGGCUCAACCUGGGAAUGGCCGUUGAAACUGGCGAACUGGAGUGUGGCAGAGGGGGGGUGGAAUUCCGCGUGUAGCAGUGAAAUGCGUAGAGAUGCGGAGGAACACCGAUGGCGAAGGCAGCCCCCUGGGCUAACACUGACGCUCAGGCACGAAAAGCGUGGGGGAGCAA
rnacentral:rRNA from 1 species